GCUAUAUGACGUUGAAACACUGCUUCUCGUACGAUCAGCGAAGUUAAGCAUCUUUGAGCCUGGUCAGUACCUAGAUGGGUAACCGCUUGAGAAUACCCGAUGCUGUAAG